CCUACGGGCGGCAGCAGUGGGGAAUAUUGGACAAUGGGGGCAACCCUGAUCCAGUCAUGCCGCGUGUGUGAAGAAGGCCCUCGGGUUGUAAAGCACUUUCAGUGAGGAAGAACGCCUGGUGGUUAAUACCCAUCAGGAAAGACAUCACUCACAGAAGAAGCACCGGCUAACUCCGUGCCAGCAGCCGCGGUAAUACGGAGGGUGCGAGCGUUAAUCGGAAUUACUGGGCGUAAAGCGCGCGUAGGUGGCUUGAUAAGCCGGUUGUGAAAGCCCCGGGCUCAACCUGGGAACGGCAUCCGGAACUGUCAAGCUAGAGUGCAGGAGAGGAAGGUAGAAUUCCCGGUGUAGCGGUGAAAUGCGUAGAGAUCGGGAGGAAUACCAGUGGCGAAGGCGGCCUUCUGGACUGACACUGACACUGAGGUGCGAAAGCGUGGGUAGCAAACAGGAUUAGAUACCCUUGUAGUC
rnacentral:rRNA from 1 species